rnacentral:rRNA from 1 species
UAAUAUAUCGGAACGUGCCCAGUCGUGGGGGGAUAACGUAGCGAAAGCUACGCUAAUACCGCAUACGAUCUAUGGAUGAAAGCGGGGGAUCGCAAGACCUCGCGCGAUUGGAGCGGCCGAUAUCAGAUUAGGUAGUUGGUGAGGUAAAGGCUCACCAAGCCGACGAUCUGUAGCUGGUCUGAGAGGACGACCAGCCACACUGGGACUGAGACACGGCCCAGACUCCUACGGGAGGCAGCAGUGGGGAAUUUUGGACAAUGGGCGCAAGCCUGAUCCAGCAAUGCCGCGUGCAGGAUGAAGGCCUUCGGGUUGUAAACUGCUUUUGUACGGAACGAAACGGUGAGCUCUAAUACAGUUUGCUAAUGACGGUACCGUAAGAAUAAGCACCGGCUAACUACGUG